GGAUGAACAUAAUAAUAUCUAAUUUUUCCAUCCCUUUCAUACUGAGUUCUGUCAUUUCUCCUAUCUCCUCUACUUACAGUUAUGAAAGCUUUAAAAUGCAUAGGAUGAUUUGGUGACUGAAUAUGAACCUCUGGCCAAGUGGAUACUUGCAUUCUUGAAAGAAUUCCACUGGGGCCCUCGAUCACAUAUCAUGCUUAUCCCCAACUGAAAUCUCUUGAGAUUCAUAGGACUCUUGUCCUAAACAUUACUCAUCUCUUUUUAUUUUUUCUACCCACAGAAGACCCAGGCGAACCAUCAAGCGAAUCUGAAGAAGACCCAGGCGAAUCAUCAAGUGAAUCUGAAGAAGACUCAAGCGAACGUCAAGAAAGCCUCUUCACUUCUGCUAAGAACGCCUUUCUUCAAAUCUACUCACACCAUUGAUUUCUGGAGAGACAGCAAGAAGGAAUAGGAGGUGGUUCUGAUUCUUCUUACAACAUCAUUAAUGUGAAAAUAUUUAAUAGAAAUGUAUAUGCAUAGCCCAUAGUAGAUUGCACACCAUAUUGGGGAAGGAGGCAGGGAGGGAGGAGAAAAAUUUAAAACUCUAAAGCUUAUGGAAAUGAU